rnacentral:rRNA from 1 species
UACGAAGGGGGCUAGCGUUGUUCGGAAUCACUGGGCGUAAAGCGUAUGUAGGCGGAUCGUUAAGUCGGGGGUGAAAUCCCGAGGCUCAACCUCGGAACUGCCUUCGAUACUGGCGAUCUUCGAGUCCGGGAGAGGUGAGUGGAACUCCGAGUGUAGAGGUGAAAUCCGUAGAUAUUCGGAAGAACACCAGUGGCGAAGGCGACUUACUGGACACAUAUUGACGCUGAGGUGCGAAAGCGUGGGGAGCAAACAGG